AACAUAUCCUUCUUCAUCAUCACAUCUCACAUCGGCGGGAAGGUUUGGCACCUCGAUGUUGGCUCUUCACCACUGGGGGCUGUAGUAUGUUCCAAGGGUUGGGUUGUUCGCCCAUUAAAGCAGUAUGUGAGCUAGGUUCAAAACGUCGUGAGAGAGUUU
rnacentral:ncRNA from 1 species